rnacentral:rRNA from 1 species
GAUGAACGCUGGCGGCAGGCUUAAUACAUGCAAGUCGGACGGUAACAUGCGGGUAGCAAUACCUGUGAUGACGAGUGGCGGAUGGGUGCGUAACGCGUAUGCAACCUGCCCCUUAUUGGAGGAUAACGUUGUGAAAACGGCGAUAAUAUUCCAUGUGUACCCUGGGGGGCAUCCCUUGGGGUAUAAAGAUUCAUUGAUAAGGGAUGGGCAUGCGUACCAUUAGGUAGUUGGCGGGGUAACGGCCCACCAAGCCGACGAUGAUUAGGGGUCCUGAGAGGGCAACCCCCCACACUGGAACUGAGACACGGUCCAGACUCCUACGGGAGGCAGCAGUAGGGAAUAUUGGGCAAUGGAGGCAACUCUGACCCAGCCAUGCCGCGUGAAGGAAGGCGGUCCUAUGGAUUGUAAACUUCUUUUGUUGCAGAGUAAAGGCGGGGACGCGUCCCCGUGUGAGAGUAUGCGACGAAUAAGCAUCGGCUAACUCCGUGCCAGCAGCCGCGGUAAUACGGAGGAUGCAAGCGUUAUCCGGAUUUAUUGGGUUUAAAGGGUGCGCAGGCGGACCUGUAAGUCAUAGGUGAAAACCCGCUGCUUAACAGCGGGCGUGCCGGUGAUACUGCAGGACUAGUGUACAAGCGGCGUGGCCGGAAUGUGGCGUGUAGCGGUGAAAUGCUUAGAUAUGCCACAGAACGCCCGAUCGUGAAGACAGGUCACGAGCUUGAUACAGACGCUCAUGCACGAAAGCGUGGGUAUCAAACAGGAUUAGAUACCCUGGUAGUCCACGCUGUAAACGAUGAUCACUCGUUGUUGGGGGGCGACUCUCAGCGGCCAAGGGAAACCGAUAAGUGAUCCACCUGGGGAGUACGAUCGCAAGGUUGAAACUCAAAGGAAUUGACGGGGGCCCGCACAAGCGGAGGAGCAUGUGGUUUAAUUCGAUGAUACGCGAGGAACCUUACCCGGGCUUGAACGUAAGACCGAGGCACAGGAGACUGUGCCGCCUACGGGGGUUUUGCGAGGUGCUGCAUGGUUGUCGUCAGCUCGUGCCGUGAGGUGUUAGGUUAAGUCCUGCAACGAGCGCAACCCUUACACGUAGUUGCCAGCACGUAAAGGUGGGGACUCUACGGGAACUGCCCGCGCAAGCGGUGAGGAAGGUGGGGAUGACGUCAAAUCAGCACGGCCCUUAUGUCCGGGGCUACACACGUGCUACAAUGGCGCACACAGAGGGCAGCGACCCUGCGAGGGGGAGCAAAUCCAUGAAAGUGCGUCUCAGUUCGGAUUGGGGUCUGUAACCCGACCCUAUGAAGUUGGAUUCGCUAGUAAUCGCGCAUCAGCCAUGGCGCGGUGAAUACGUUCCCGGGCCUUGUACACACCGCCCGUCAAGCCAUGGAAGCCUGUGGUACCUGAAGUCCGUGCCCGGAAGGAGCGGCCUAGGGUAAAACCGGUAACUGGGGC